CCUACGGGAGGCUGCAGUGGGGGAUAUUGCACAAUGGGGGAAACCCUGAUGCAGCGACGCCGCGUGUGGGAAGACGGUCCUCUGGAUUGUAAACCACUGUCCCCAGGGACGAAGAUGACGGUACCUGGGGAGGAAGCUCCGGCUAACUACGUGCCAGCAGCCGCGGUAAUACGUAGGGAGCGAGCGUUGUCCGGAAUUACUGGGUGUAAAGGGAGCGUAGGCGGGGAUGCAAGUUGGGUGUCAAAACUACCGGCUCAACUGGUAGUCGCACUCAAAACUGCAGCUCUUGAGUGAAGUAGAGGCAGGCGGAAUUCCUAGGGUAGCGGUGAAAUGCGUAGAUAUUAGUAGGAACAGCAGUGGCGAAGGCGGCCUGCUGGGCUUUUACUGACGCUGAGGCUCGAAAGGGUGGGGAGGAAACAGGAUUAGAUACCCCAGUAGUC
rnacentral:rRNA from 1 species